GCGGAUAUGGUGGAAUUGGCAGACACGAUAGACUUAGGAUCUAUUGCGUGAGCGUGCAGGUUCAAGUCCUGUUAUCCGCACCA
rnacentral:tRNA from 1 species